rnacentral:rRNA from 1 species
UCUACGGGAGGCAGCAGUGGGGAAUAUUGGGCAAUGGGCGCAAGCCUGACCAAGCAACGCCGCGGGAAGGAAGAAGCCUUUCGGGUUGUAAACUUCUUUUCUAAGGGACGAAGAAAGUGCCGGUACCUGAGGAAUAAGCACGGGCUAACUACUUCCCAGAAGCCGCGGUAAGAGGUAGGUGGCAAGCGUUAGCCGAGUUUACUGGGUGUAAGGGGCGUGUAGGCGGGAAAGCAAGACAGAUGUGAAAACCAUGGGCUCAACCUGUGGCCUGCAUUUGAACCUGUUUUUCUUGAGUACUGGAGAGGCAGACGGAAUUCCUAGUGUAGCGGUGAAAUGCGUAGAUAUUAGGAGGAACACCAGUGGCGAAGGCGGUCUGCUGGACAGCAACUGACGCUGAGGCGCGAAAGCGUGGGGAGCAAACAGGAUUAGAUACCCCAGUAGUC